GUAAGUCUCGUUUACUUUCACUUUCGAUUUACCACUUCCGGGUACAUCGGCAGACUUAUUUACCGUUACGCAUAUAGGUAACCCGAAGAACUCGAGAGAUAUAGAAGUUAAAUUUGUUUCGGUCCGCUUCAAAUUUGAAGGAAUGGAAAACACUGGUCAAAAAAUGCAGAUGUGUAGACAGGGAGGUAUAUGACAAGUACAUGUAUAGAAUAUACAGUUCUUCACUAUGGACCAUUAAUCAAAUGUUUGCACUGCCUAUGAUCCUGAAAUAUCUAUACAUCAAAGAUAAAAAGAAAAAAGAUGAAGGGACUUUGUCCAUGAAGACCUUUAUUGCAACUACCAUCUUCCAGUUCCUUAAUUUGAGAAUGAUCUCAGAGAACACACAGUUACAUUGAAAUAUUAGUUUAAUAUAAGCCACUGAGAAUAGUCAAAUGUACUUUCCUGAAGAAGAUGAAUGACAUGCAGCACAAAAAUCUUGAU